AGAAACCAAGGGAACCUCUUCUAAUAACCUGUGGCUCUCCAACUUCUCUACUUUAGGAACCUGUUCACCUGGAAUUUAGGAGUCACAGGUACCACUCUGGGUACAGAAAAGGAGGAGCAUCUUGCAAUUUGCACAUCACACGAAUCUGCAUCUCCAUCUAUCCAUCUAUCUGAAAUCAUCAUAAGGAAAAAGAGGCGGAUCAGACCAACUAUAGCUUGGUCUGUGCUAUAGUUUGUGGCUCAGAGUUCAUCUUUUCUUAAUCCUCUUCAACUUUAUGUGAAUGGGAACUUUGAACCCUGUAGGACGCUACUUGGUAUAUCUAGGAAAUAUAGCAAUUCAGGUUACAAUUUAUUUAAUUUGUGAGUGUGCGGGUUUGUGUUAAAAGCACACGUGUGUCUCUGAGUGUCAAAUAUUCCCGAGUCUUGAGAUGUAUACAUUCUAGAAGAAAAACACAUUCUUUUUAAAGUACUUUUACAGUCCUUCCUCAGCAUGCGAAGUAUCUCAUAUUUGUAAGCCUUUUAAGGCCCAGCAGCACAUGCCUUUAAUACCAGUGCUAGUGAAUAGGAGACAACAGGAUAAAUAAUUCAAGGCCACCCUUUGCUACAUUGUGAGUUAGAGGUCAGCCAGGGCUACAUGAGAUUGUCUCAGACAACCGAAAGAAGGGUAUGGGGAGAGCGCUUGCUGCAUGAACAUGGAGAGCUGAGUUUAAAUCUGCUGCAUCACAUAAAAUCUUAGGCAUGGCUGCACAGAGAUGAAACCCCGGGUCCUUUCAUGUGUAGACAGAAGGGCUUCUCAGGCUUGCUGGCUGUCAGCCUAAUUUCAAGUUCAAUGAGAGACCUUGUCUCAGGGGAAUACGGUAGAAAGUAAUAGAACAGGACAGUGGACACUUUUCUCUGCCUUCCACCUGUGUAUACAAGCGUGGACACUCACAUAUACAUAUGCACUUAUAACACAAACCCACACACUCACUAAUUAAAUAAGUUAUACCCCAAAUAGCUAUAUUUUUCUAUUAUUCAUUUAAUAGAUUAUAAAGAACAAUUAUCUAUUGUUUUGAAGUAUUAAUUAUAACUUUUAAAAUAUUCACGUAGCCACUUCUGAACAGCUAGACUGAGUAUAGCAUAGGGUUAACACAAGACCAAGGGCAUGUUUAAACAACCCAGUGAUGUUUAAAAAUCAGAGGGUAAAAAACCACGUCUUUAAAUUUUCACCCUGCACCAAUAAGAGUCAAUAAUAUAAAAUGUACCCUGGAAGAUAAUGGACCCAUUGUGUGACCUGUUUCCAACCCCUGAUGAUACAGUUUAGAAAGAUGAACUUCUUCAUUUCAAGUAGGUCACAGGUUCUCUGAUGACAAGGUCCAGCACCUCAGUCACCACCGUAUCCAUGGCGCUUUCCCUUCCUGGGAAGUAUUGAGGGAUGAAUGGACCUCUGAAAUAUUCUUCAAUUACCUGUGUAAAUAUCAACAUAAGGCCCAGCCCUUUCCUAUUGAUUAGUCCAUUUCCUCAAAUAUCAAGUAGGGCAAAGGUUAUGCUAGUGAUGAUGAGUUACGCAAGCCCUUUUGGAGAUGCUGUGGUAAAGAGUUACUCAACAAACCCAGCAAGUAUCUGGAGUGAGUACAUCUAUCCUCGUGUGCAGAUCUGUGGGUAUAGACAGUGUGAGAUCAUCCUCAAGUUACCUGCUGUGCUCUCCAAAGGACACAGACUGAGACCCAUGUGCGUCACCGCUCUUUAAGAUGAACAGGCAGAAAGGGCCAUGUCCCUUUGGACCUCUAGAGUCCAGACUGUCAUCUUCUUGCAAGCCUCUUCACCUCCGCAGGACCAGCUUUGCUUGUCAAGACACAAGACCAAUCCUACCUUCAUGGAACAGCGAUGAAGCUGCCUUGUAAACUCCAAGGAUCUCUCACCAAAGCUGAAGCACAUUAUGUCAUCUAUAAUGGUUUUCCAAUAAGCUUCAGGGAUCCUCCCGUUUCUACACCCCUCCCCCCAUAACAAAGAAAUCUCACAUCAGUGGUGGCGAUCCAAACUCAUGACCUCAUGCUUGCACAGUGGCUACUUCAUCACCUGGGCCAUCCCCCCAGUCCUUGCAUUCUCACAUAUCAAAACAUGCAACAUCUUAAAGUUGCUCAGAGAGUAAUGCCUCUUACCUGACGGCCUGAAGUCAAAAGAAGAUGUGUCUUGCCAGUGAAAAGGAUGGACCCAUGGGAGGCAGCAGAGGAGGCAGAAAAGCGCCUGCAGUUUGAGUGGUACCAUCUUAGGAGCUGAGCAGUGGCUUCAGUUUGAUGUUCUUCAGAGCAGAUAAUUAAAAGAAAAGAAAUACAAUGAAUGUACUGAAGUGCCCAGUAAUGUUAACAGUGAAACAUGUAUUGCUUAUUCAGAGAAAGCUGGCAAAAUCCUUGAUGCUAAUGGGUGGCAGAACAUGGGAAUAACAUUUCAAGACAGCUAAAUAUGAUUUUCUCUAUUUUUACAAGAGUCUUUUGGUUAUAAGAAAAACAUGGAGUCAUGAUAGUG
ensembl:antisense 1700071M16Rik RIKEN cDNA 1700071M16 gene